AAUUUUGGACAAUGGGGGAAACCCUGAUCCAGCCAUCCCGCGUGUGCGAUGAAGGCCUUCGGGUUGUAAAGCACUUUUGUCUCGGAAGAAAAGGUUCUGGCAAAUACACGUAACUAAUGCCCGUACUAGCAGAGUAAGCACCGGCUAAUUACGUGCCAGCCGCCGCGGUAAUACGGAGGGUGCGAGCGUGAAUCGGACUUACUGGGCGUAAAGCGUGUGUAGGCGGUUCGGAAAGAAAGAUGUGAAAUCCCAGGGCUCAACCUAGGAACUGCAUUUUUAACUGCCGAGCUAGAGGAUGUCAGAGGGGGGGAGAAUUCCACGUGUAGCAGUGAAAUGCGUAGAUAUGUGGAGGAAUACCGAUGGCGAAGGCGGCCCCCUGGGAUAAUGCUGACGCUCAGACGCGAAAGCGUGGGGAGCAAACAGG
rnacentral:rRNA from 1 species